AUUACUGUACCCUCCCGGCAGCCUCCGGCAGAACACGCAGCAGCAGCAGCAGUUAGCGCUGAUGCAACUAUCGUUGCUGUUGCCACCGCCUCCCCACUGACGGGGCGUGCACCUGGGGGGUACUUGCAGUUUCCAGGGGCAACAAGCAUCUCUCUACCACCCUCUCCUGCGCCCCUGAGAGAGGCUGGCUCCAAGCUUGAUAUAGAAGACUAUCAUAUGAACCAGAAAGGGUAACUGAAACCAAAGAAAUGACUCCAGUAUCAAGCUAAAGACAUGCCUUAAAGGAUGAGGAGGAGCAGAAAUCUUACCAGCAAGGCAAGAAAGAAGCCGUACGUGAACAGAAAUGAAAGAACCAGAGCAUUAUAGCAGAACGAAUCCUGGAAUGGGAAUGGAAUGCCUGGAUUUGUGGCACAGUUGGGAAGCGUCCUGGCCAUGCCAUGUUAAAGCUGUCUCCAAGGCAGUGAUUCUUACCCUUGGCUACACAUUGGAGUCAUUUGGGAAGCUAGAAAAAAAAAAUGCCCAGGACCUGGGCAAGACGGCUGAAUAAGAACAGCUCUGGUCUGCAGUUCCUAGCAAGAUCAACGCAGAAGGGAAGCUGGCAGCCUGGGCUCUUGGAGAUUGUAUCUGGUGCCGGAGAGGACUGGCUCCCACACUCAGUGAGGGAGGAAUUUUACUGACCCAGCAUCCAGAUGAACUUUGGUGAGGAGAGGAGGACAUAAGAGCCUGGUGGUUGAUGAUGGAAGAGAUGAAACUGUGAAGAGACCGAAGAAGCUAAUCUAUCAAUAGUUAAGAUUCCAUUUCUAAAAGAUCUUACUUUGAGUCUACCUAUGCCUGGGAUGUCAAGAGGUGCUGAGGAUUGAUUGGUGAAGACAGAGAGGGUCUUGGUUCUAACUGAGCUCACAUUCUAAAAGAGAAAAUAGAAAAUAAACACGAAAAACGAAUGGGAUCACUUCAGAAAUUGAAAAGGUCUAUAAGAAAAACAAAACAGGGUGUGUGAUAGAGGGUUGGGGAGGCUGUGACCAUGGAAGGCCUAAGAAAGUGAUAUUUGAAAUGAAACUUGAGUUGCAGAAGGGAGCCAGCUGUGCAAGGCUGAGGACCAAAUAUUUCAGGAGGGAACGGCCAAGGCAGAAAUGAGCAUGGCCUGCUGGAGACCGAGAAUGAACUGUUAGUGGGUUCCCACUGCACAGGGCCUGGGGAGGCUACCCAUGCUCAUCUCAUGGUAAUGUGCCAGCAACUCAGCCUACUGGCAUCAU
rnacentral:lncRNA from 10 species